rnacentral:rRNA from 1 species
UACGUAGGGUGCAAGCGUUAAUCGGAAUUACUGGGCGUAAAGCGUGCGCAGGCGGAUUUGUAAGCCAGAUGUGAAAUCCCCGGGCUUAACCUGGGAAUGGCAUUUGGGACUGCAAGGCUGGAGUGUGGCAGAGGAGACUGGAAUUCCCGGUGUAGCAGUGAAAUGCGUAGAUAUCGGGAGGAAUACCGAUGGCGAAGGCAGGUCUCUGGGCUGACACUGACGCUCAUGCACGAAAGCGUGGGGAGCAAACAGG